UAAAAUAUAGUGUUAUUAUAAAUAUUUGGCCGUUAACCAAAAGAAAUUUGCAACUUAGUUUGAAUUAUUUUAG
rnacentral:tRNA from 1 species